CGCGUAGGUGGUUUGUUAAGUUGGAUGUGAAAGCCCCGGGCUCAACCUGGGAACUGCAUCCAAAACUGGCAAGCUAGAGUACGGUAGAGGGUGGUGGAAUUUCCUGUGUAGCGGUGAAAUGCGUAGAGAUCGGAAGGAACACCAGUGGCGAAGGCGGCUACCUGGACAGAUACUGACACUGAGGCGCGAGAGCGUGGGGAGCAAACA
rnacentral:rRNA from 1 species